rnacentral:rRNA from 1 species
AACGUAGGAGACAAACGUUAUCCGGAGUUACUGGGCGUAAAGGGCUCGUAGGUGGCCAACUAAGUCAGACGUGAAAUCCCUCGGCUUAACCGGGGAACUGCGUCUGAUACUGGAUGGCUGGAGAUUGGGAGAGGGAUGCGGAAUUCCAGGUGUAGCGGUGAAAUGCGUAGAUAUCUGGAGGAACACCGGUGGCGAAGGCGGCAUCCUGGACCAACACUGACGCUGAGGAGCGAAAGCCAGGGGAGCAAACGGG